GUCAUAUUAAAUUAGAACACGAGUUCCCGUAGGAUAACCAAAGUUAAGCAAGGUUGAGCCUUGUCAGUACCUAGAUGGGUGACUACUUGGGAAUACUAGCUGUUGUAA